ensembl:lncRNA novel transcript, antisense to CNGA3
AGACCUGCACUCUGUACAGCAUGGCUACUGACCAACUCAUGGUUAAAUGCGUAGGAGAAACUGAAGCACAGCUGAGGUGCCCACCAUCAGUAGAGCUAGGCCAGCAUCAGAGGAAGCUGGGCCUCCAAGCCCUUCUCGGACUCAGAAUCCUCCCAGCAGAUACCCAGGCAGAGGAGUGUGAACUCUCAGCCCCUAAAAAGGACUGCCCUGUGAGGCAGGCUCACAAGUGCCUAGAGGAUCUUCUGUACUGACUACAAGCCUCUAAGUGAAGAAGCAAAACAGGCUCUGGAUCUUGGAGGUCCUUGAAUUCUCCUGGGGCUCAACUUGAGGAUGCUCACGGCUCAGGCCUGAGAGGGGAGAAGCAUAGUGGGCAGGCAUCUCCUCUCUGAUCACCUACUUAGGUUUUGGUUCCCCAAGGAUGAUUUGCUGCCAUCCUGCUCAGGAGUGUGUGAAAAACACAGAAUGACAGGUGCCACUCCAGGCCCACUAAAUUCAAAUCUCUUGGGACAGGGCUUGGGAUUCUGCAUUGUCACCAGGGCCAUGCAUAGGCAAGUUAAAGUU